rnacentral:rRNA from 1 species
GAUGAACGCUGGCGGCGUGCCUAAUACAUGCAAGUCGAGCGAACAGACGAGGAGCUUGCUCCUCUGACGUUAGCGGCGGACGGGUGAGUAACACGUGGAUAACCUACCUAUAAGACUGGGAUAACUUCGGGAAACCGGAGCUAAUACCGGAUAAUAUAUUGAACCGCAUGGUUCAAUAGUGAAAUACGGUUUUGCUGUCACUUAUAGAUGGAUCCGCGCCGCAUUAGCUAGUUGGUAAGGUAACGGCUUACCAAGGCAACGAUGCGUAGCCGACCUGAGAGGGUGAUCGGCCACACUGGAACUGAGACACGGUCCAGACUCCUACGGGAGGCAGCAGUAGGGAAUCUUCCGCAAUGGGCGAAAGCUUGACGGAGCAACGCCGCGUGAGUGAUGAAGGUCUUCGGAUCGUAAAACUCUGUUAUUAGGGAAGAACAAAUGUGUAAGUAACUAUGCACGUCUUGACGGUACCUAAUCAGAAAGCCACGGCUAACUACGUG